GGGUUCGGCCCUCGGCGGACUGCUCAGUAACACGUGGAUAACCUGCCCUAAGGUGGGGCAUAACCCCGGGAAACUGGGGAUAAUACCCCAUAGGUUAGAGAUGCUGGAAUGCCCUUUAACCCAAAGCUCCGGCGCCUUAGGAUGGAUCUGCGGCCGAUUAGGUAGUUGUUGGGGUAAUGGCCCAACAAGCCUGUAAUCGGUACGGGUUGUGGGAGCAAGAGCCCGGAGAUGGACUCUGAGACACGAGUCCAGGCCCUACGGGGCGCAGCAGGCGCGAAAACUUUACAAUGCAGGAAACUGUGAUAAGGGAACCCCGAGUGCCCGUAUACGCGGGCUGUCCAGGUGUUUAAAACGCAUCUGAAGAAAGGGCCGGGCAAGACCGGUGCCAGCCGCCGCGGUAAUACCGGCGGCUCGAGUGGUAACCGCUAUUAUUGGGUCUA
rnacentral:rRNA from 1 species